rnacentral:rRNA from 1 species
UACAGAGGUCCCAAGCGUUGUUCGGAUUCACUGGGCGUAAAGGGUGCGUAGGUGGCUGGGAAAGUCUUGUGUGAAAUCCCACGGCUCAACCGUGGAACGGCACAGGAUACUAUUCGGCUUGAGGAUUGGAGGGGGGACUGGAAUUCUCGGUGUAGCAGUGAAAUGCGUAGAUAUCGAGAGGAACACCGGUGGCGAAGGCGGGUCCCUGGACAAUUCCUGACACUGAGGCACGAAAGCUAGGGGAGCAAACAGG